GUCACGAUGACUCCAAAUCGGCCGUUCUCAGGCGGUGGACGGCGGAAAGGCGACCACGUCUACACAAAUCGCCUCAGCCUCAGCCUCCACGCGAGUCGGCGACAAAAACCCUAAUUCCUUUACCUUCUAUGUGACAUCAGGAAAAUGCAGAUCAAGAUCAAGAUCAAGAACGGAGGCACAACAACUGGCAGCAGGAUUAAGGAAUCAAAGAAUGCAAACAGAAUGUGGAAUAAGUAUGGUGGAUUUUGAGUCUCCUGCCACCAACUUGAAGCAAAUUCAGUGAAGGUACAAAAGCAUUAAUAAAAAGUUUAAAUGCCAGCUUUGGAAACAUGGAAGAUUCCUUGGUUGCUGCAAGUGUUUAACAGGUUUUGGUUCUAUUAAAGAGGCAAAUAGCAGUGGAAAAAUUUCAAGAAUUUACUACAUGAUUUAUGAUUUAGAUUUGUAAUUUGUUGAUUCUUGCAAAUGUAGG